CCUACGGGAGUCAGCAGUGAGGAAUAUUGGUAAAUGGGCGGGAGCCUGAACCAGCCAAGUCGCGUGAGGGAAGACGGUCCUAUGGAUUGUAAACCUCUUUAGGCGGGGAGCAAUGCCGGGCACGUGUGCCCGGAGGGAGAGUACCAGCAGGAUAAGCAUCGGCUAACUCCGUGCCAGCAUCCGCGGUAAUACGGAGGAUGCGAGCGUUAUACGGAUUUCUGGGGUUUAAAGGGUGCGUAGGCGGAUUUUUAAGUCAGCGUUAAAAUGUACGGGCUCAACCCGGGCCGGCCGUUGAAACUGGGGAUCUUGAGUGGGCGAGAAGUAUGCGGAAUGCGUGGUGUAGCGGUGAAAUGCAUAGAUAUCACGCAGAACUCCGAUUGCGAAGGCAGCAUACCGGCGCCCGACUGACGCUGAGGCAUGAAAGCGUGGGGAUCGAACAGGAUUAGAUACCCGAGUAGUC
rnacentral:rRNA from 1 species